rnacentral:rRNA from 1 species
UUAAGUGACUAAGCGUACACGGUGGAUGCCUAGGCAGUCAGAGGCGAUGAAGGACGUGCUAAUCUGCGAUAAGCGUCGGUGAGCUGAUAUGAAGCAUUAUUAGCCGGCGAUGUCCGAAUGGGGAAACCCAGUGCAAUUCGUUGCACUAUCGUUAAGUGAAUACAUAGCUUAACGAGGCGAACCAGGGGAACUGAAACAUCUAAGUACCCUGAGGAAAAGAAAUCAACCGAGAUUCCCCUAGUAGCGGCGAGCGAACGGGGAAGAGCCCAGAACCUGAAUCAGUUUGUGCAUUAGUGGAAGCGUCUGGAAAGUCGCGCGAUACCGGGUGAUAGCCCCGUACACGAAGGUGCACAGCUGUGAGUUCGAUGAGUAGGGCGGGACACGUGUUAUCCUGUCUGAAUAUGGGGGGACCAUCCUCCAAGGCUAAAUACUCCUGACUGACCGAUAGUGAACCAGUACCGUGAGGGAAAGGCGAAAAGAACCCCGGCGAGGGGAGUGAAAUAGAACCUGAAACCGUGUACGUACAAGCAGUGGGAGCAUCCUUCGGGGUGUGACUGCGUACCUUUUGUAUAAUGGGUCAGCGACUUAUAUUUUGUAGCAAGGUUAACCGAAUAGGGGAGCCGUAGGGAAACCGAGUCUUAACUGGGCGUCUAGUUGCAAGGUAUAGACCCGAAACCCGGUGAUCUAGCCAUGGGCAGGUUGAAGGUUGGGUAACACUAACUGGAGGACCGAACCGACUAAUGUUGAAAAAUUAGCGGAUGACUUGUGGCUGGGGGUGAAAGGCCAAUCAAACCGGGAGAUAGCUGGUUCUCCCCGAAAGCUAUUUAGGUAGCGCCUCGUGAACUCAUCUUCGGGGGUAGAGCACUGUUUCGGCUAGGGGGUCAUCCCGACUUACCAACCCGAUGCAAACUACGAAUACCGAAGAAUGUUAUCACGGGAGACACACGGCGGGUGCUAACGUCCGUCGUGAAGAGGGAAACAACCCAGACCGCCAGCUAAGGUCCCAAAGUCAUGGUUAAGUGGGAAACGAUGUGGGAAGGCAUAGACAGCCAGGAUGUUGGCUUAGAAGCAGCCAUCAUUUAAAGAAAGCGUAAUAGCUCACUGGUCGAGUCGGCCUGCGCGGAAGAUGUAACGGGGCUAAACCAUGCACCGAAGCUGCGGCAGCGACACUAUGUGUUGUUGGGUAGGGGAGCGUUCUGUAAGCCUGUGAAGGUGGCCUGUGAGGGCUGCUGGAGGUAUCAGAAGUGCGAAUGCUGACAUAAGUAACGAUAAAGCGGGUGAAAAGCCCGCUCGCCGGAAGACCAAGGGUUCCUGUCCAACGUUAAUCGGGGCAGGGUAAGUCGACCCCUAAGGCGAGGCCGAAAGGCGUAGUCGAUGGGAAACAGGUUAAUAUUCCUGUACUUGGUGUUAUUGCGAAGGGGGGACGGAGAAGGCUAGACCGGCCGGGCGACGGUUGUCCCGGUUUAAGCGUGUAGGUGUGAUGACCUGGCAAAUCCGGUUAUCUUUAACACUGAGGCGUGAUGACGAGGCACUACGGUGCUGAAGUGGUUAAUGCCCUGCUUCCAGGAAAAGCCUCUAAGCUCUAGAUAACACUGAAUCGUACCCCAAACCGACACAGGUGGUCAGGUAGAGAAUACCAAGGCGCUUGAGAGAACUCGGGUGAAGGAACUAGGCAAAAUGGUGCCGUAACUUCGGGAGAAGGCACGCUGGCAUGUAGGUGAAGUCCCUCGCGGAUGGAGCCGAAGCCAGUCGAAGAUACCAGCUGGCUGCAACUGUUUAAUAAAAACACAGCACUCUGCAAACACGAAAGUGGACGUAUAGGGUGUGACGCCUGCCCGGUGCUGGAAGGUUAAUUGAUGGGGUCAGCCGCAAGGCGAAGCUCUUGAUCGAAGCCCCAGUAAACGGCGGCCGUAACUAUAACGGUCCUAAGGUAGCGAAAUUCCUUGUCGGGUAAGUUCCGACCUGCACGAAUGGCGUAAUGAUGGCCAGGCUGUCUCCACCCGAGACUCAGUGAAAUUGAACUCGCUGUGAAGAUGCAGUGUACCCGCGGCAAGACGGAAAGACCCCGUGAACCUUUACUAUAGCUUGACACUGAACAUUGAACCUUGAUGUGUAGGAUAGGUGGGAGGCUUUGAAGUGUGGACGCCAGUCUGCAUGGAGCCGACCUUGAAAUACCACCCUUUAAUGUUUGAUGUUCUAACCUGGUCCCGUAAUCCGGGAUAGGGACAGUGUCUGGUGGGUAGUUUGACUGGGGCGGUCUCCUCCCAAAGAGUAACGGAGGAGCACGAAGGUUAGCUAAUCCUGGUCGGACAUCAGGAGGUUAGUGCAAAGGCAUAAGCUAGCUUGACUGCGAGAGUGACGGCUCGAGCAGGUGCGAAAGCAGGUCUUAGUGAUCCGGUGGUUCUGAAUGGAAGGGCCAUCGCUCAACGGAUAAAAGGUACUCCGGGGAUAACAGGCUGAUACCGCCCAAGAGUUCAUAUCGACGGCGGUGUUUGGCACCUCGAUGUCGGCUCAUCACAUCCUGGGGCUGAAGUAGGUCCCAAGGGUAUGGCUGUUCGCCAUUUAAAGUGGUACGCGAGCUGGGUUUAGAACGUCGUGAGACAGUUCGGUCCCUAUCUGCCGUGGGCGUUGGAAGAUUGAGAGGGGCUGCUCCUAGUACGAGAGGACCGGAGUGGACGCACCGCUGGUGUUCGGGUUGUGAUGCCAAUUGCAUUGCCCGGUAGCUACGUGCGGAAGAGAUAAGCGCUGAAAGCAUCUAAGCGCGAAACUUGCCUCGAGAUGAGUCUUCCCUUGGACCUUGAGUCCACUGAAGGAACGUUUAAGACUAAGACGUUGAUAGGCUGGGUGUGUAAGCGUAGCGAUACGUUGAGCUAACCAGUACUAAUGAUCCGUGAGGCUUAACCUU